GCUGGACCUCACUGAUUACUGUAUAAAAACACAUACAAAAUUUAAUAUAAGACAGCAAAUCUCAGACUCUCAGGCAGGGGGUUCCAGAGCAGAGAGGCCCUGACUGCAAAAGCACGCUCGCCUUUGGUCCUGAGCCUGGACUCAGGAACUGCCAGGAGAGCCCUGCCCCAGGAUCUGAGGCUGCACUCCAGCUCAUAGGGAUGCAGCAAUUCAGCAAUGUAGCUGGUAGCAAUGUAGCUGGAAGCAUUGUAAGUGAUCAGUAAAAUCUUGAAAUCAAUUCUAAAACUGGUAAAGAGGGGAAGAGAGGCAAGGAGGGAAGAGAGGUUAAAACAGGGCUGAUUGUUGUCAAUCUUAGUUAAAAGCAGAGCAGCUGGAUCUUAGUUAAAAGCAGAGCAGCUGGUUUUUGAAAGAGCUCGAGGCCCGGGAUGGCUUUUUUGGCUUAACCCUGAGUAUCCCUGAGUAACCCUGAGUGACAAGAAUUGCAAUAGUCCGAUCAAGAUGAAAUAAAGGUAUGGAUGACUUUCUCAAGAUCAGAUGUGACAGAAACGACCUGAUCUUAGAGAGGCUCCAUAGCUGAUAAAAACAUCACUUUUAAUUUGUUUUUUCAAAAUUGAGGUCUCUGUCUAAUAUUACGCCCAGGUUUCUGGCUGCAGGUUAGAUAUUUAAUGUCAAGGAUCCAAGUUUUUUUUUUGUACAACAGGGAUGGACCUUGGGGGACCAAAGAUAAUUAUCUCCGAUUUGUUUUUGUUGAGCUUUUGAUUUUGGGACAUCCAGCACUUUAUUAUGACUUUUUGUUUGUUUAGGAUGUGCCCCAGUGGCAGCAUGUAUAUAGAAAACAGCAAAGAGCCAGGGAUGGAACACAACAUGUCAGAGGGGCCAAUGAUGAGGAGGCAUUACCCAUGACCACUGAAAAAGUUCUGCUAGAUAAAUAUGAUAAAACACAUUUUAGGGCAGUGUCCCUGAUGCCAACCAACUUUCCAAGUUGUUCUAAAAAUAAUAGCUUGAUAAGAAAAAAAUACCAAUCACCAGCAUAAUCUGAAAGCCUGAAGCUAAGCAGCACAACACGGGCUCUUUGGCUUAGAGCGUCUGGCUACAUGUUGAAGUGUCCUUAAGAAAAAUACUGAACCCCAAAUUGCUCCCGAUGGCCUUGUGUAUGAAUGUGGCAUGUAGUGUAAAAGCGCUUUGAGUGGUCGGAAGCCUAGAUAUAAGUACACACACCACUGCUUUGAUGUUGGUUGCAUAGACCAGCACAGAGACCUGCAUGUCCUCCCAUUAUCAGAGGAAGUAAAAACCUUGACUUUAUAUUGUGGCUGAAAUUCCAACGACUGCAACUGCUGUCUCAAAGGAGGAAGAAUUGAUACCAGCUGUCCAGGACCGACUUCAUACUUGGUAAGUUUUGCCAUAUUUUAUGUUGUUUUACUGGUUAUUUUGUAGAUACCCAUGAUGAGCUUGGCGUGAGCAUGGCGCAUGGCUAACGUGGCUAGCAUUGUACUGGGCCAAUGUCCGACUUUAUUUUGUCAUAUCGAGGGACAAUAAGAAACUGUGUGAUUGUUAAGCCCUGUUUGAAGUCAACAUCAGCUCAGCUAGCGUUAGCUUUGUUGUUAUACUAAAGGUAGUUCUGCUGUGCUCUGGUGUGUGUGUGUCUUAUGUAAAUUCACUUGAUAUACAUUCACUGGAAUUAAUGAUAGAGCUAUGUGUGAGAAAGAAAUGGUCAAACUGCAGGAAUUAAUUUGUUUGUUAAGGUUGUGUGACUUUGAUUAACAGCUGUAGUGGGCCACUAAGCAGUGUGUGUAAAAUCAUACCGCAACUAAUAAUGUUGUUACUGAAAUACUCGUAUUACUGAUGAUAUAAGUGCACUUCCAAUGUAACAUCUAUCAUCUGUUUUUGCAUCGGGAACUUGUAUUUAUGAACUUUUGGUAUGUCACACAACACAAGUUACAGUCGCAGUUUCUUUGUUAAUAAUUGAUUGAGUAAAUUAUUUAUCAUCAUUAUAGCACUCUGUGUGGCUGUUACAAUUCACUACACAUCUGAGAUGAAGUUUCUAAUCUCUUUUUCCUGCAUACAGGACAACACAUCACUACAGUAAGCUGCAAUAAGGGACCCACCAGAGACACUGCUUUCAUCAGAAGUAAAGCGGACCACAUUGGCCAGCCUUUGCUCCCCACGUGCAUCAAUGAGCCCAUGAUCCUAUCGACAGUUCACUGCUUUUCCUUCCUUGGAUCACUUUUGAAAGAUCAUCUGAGUGACCUGAUGAAGCUCAGAGGAGGAAAUUAUUGCUUGUCAUACCUCAGUCAAAUGACAGCCUAAAGACAUCAUAGUGGCAGCCGCAGCAUCAGGAAAGUCUUGGUAUACACAGGAAGAUGCAUCAAGAUGAACACUGACCGCAGAGCUCCCUUACUUCAGUGUACAAGAAACCCUUUACCUCAAUCAUGAGUUUACAUUAAAGUCAUAGCUUUGGUACUUUGUUUGCAUCAUAUACAUAAUUAAAAGUUCCUUGUCAGGGGGGGCGCUGUUGAGUGAUGGAAGAGUAAGACGUGUUCGCACGAGCUCUGAUAACUUUAUCUUUAUUAAAAUACUAAACUUUUGUAAAUCCACUCUUAAAUUUCUUGGAACGACGUAAGAAGAUACACAAAAGUGCAAUGUAAGACCAAUGUAAAAAACUAUGUCAAAAAAGGGGAAAACUAGAAAAAACGACCAACAAGAAGCAGGCCCCGACCAGCCCUCUGACCCGAGUGACGCACCUCUACCUGAUGAUAUGAGUGACGAGGCGGACCCACCUAACUGUGCAAUACUAGCUGCUAUCGCUAACCUGCGAAAUGAAGUCACUCAGGUCAAGAAUGACAUAUGUGCCUCCAUAGAUGCACGCAUACAGACUGUAUGCACGAGCUGAGAGAGGAGCUGACUACAACCAAAAAGGAAAGUCAGACAUCCAUUACAACACUUGAAGGAGCCACGGCCUCGCACGAGAAGUAGCUGACCUGCUAAAAGAGGUGCUAUGUCUGGAUGAGAAGCCACUUAUUGACCGAGUGCAUCGGACCCUCCGGAGAACCCCCGACCCUCGAGAGCCCCCCAGGCCCUUCAUCCUGAGGCUACACUAUUAUCAUGUGCUUGAGGACAUCCUACGGAAAGCCAGCGUGGCGAAGCAACUUUACUUCAGAGACAAGAGGAUUCAAAUAUUCCCCGAACUAUCCUCCGGCCAUGGCUAAGCGAAGGGCUCUAUUCAACCGUGCUAGGGAGCUAUUGCGUGACAAGCCCGGCGUCAGGUAUGGCCUACUUUACCCCGCAAGACUCCUGGUCACACACAAUGGUACACAGACAUCCUUCACAGACCCGGAAAAAGCCGAAGAAUACGCGUGGCGACUCUUUGGUCCAGGGUCAUCUACAGCUGCACAGGACAAGGACAAAACAUGGAUCUCAGGAACUGUUUGGUUUUUUUUCUUCUAUCUGUGGCUGACUAGUUAGCCGAGGCGGCUAACAUCAGCACAACAACCAUUACCUGCCAAAAAAGGAGAAAAAAAAAAAAAAAGAGGAGGGGGAAAACAACUGCCGUGAUACACGCGUGUGUAUCAAGACACCGGUUGUGUGUGUAUGCGUAUACACACACAACCGGUGUCUUAUUGCAUGGCGGGAAGAACAAACAUGCAAGGUGUGAAAAUCGUGGGAUACCACACUAUAUCCUUUAUAAUCUAGACACUGUAUUGUUAUUAUCCGACAAGAAUCUCUUUUUUUCAAUAUAAGUGUUAUUCAUUUAUCCAUUUUAUUUAGUUCUAUGAUUAGAUUCAGCUUUAUGUCAAGUGUGAUGCCAGUUGUGACCUACUCUUACCUCUUGUUUCUAAAAAUACAGCUAUGUUUGAAAUGUGGAAAUUGAUGUUCAGGUUUGGGGAGUGCAUUUGUGUUUUACUCUGCAUCUCCCAGGUUCAUAUGAUACAUGAUGAUAGAUGCGCUUGUAUAAAUGGGGGUGCGUGUGCGCAUGUAUACCCCCAGUGGGGUCGCUCGUUCCCUUUCUCAUAUUUAAAUUUCUUUAUUACCAAGUUUCAGAGCUAAAGGACCGAUUUUGAAGUUAAUAACAGGCCACCAGUAGGUGUGGAAGUAACCUCAGUUAUCAGCUUUUUUUUUUUUUUUUUCUGGCUUCCCUAAGAAGGCUCAGGCCAUUCACUUUGAAUUGGCUAGAGUAGUUUAUUUUGUUUUUUUUGUUAAUAUGUGGGUCAGGUUGACUUGGGGAGGGAGACUUGGGCUGGGGAAAGAAGACCUUACAAAAACUGAUUACCAAUACGCAAGAUACUAUGAAUGAUAGCACCAAGGAGAAAAAAAAUCUCACUUUUUCCAGUUGGAAUGUGCGUAGAGUAAAUAAUCCAGUCAAAAGAGGGAAGGUUUUGCCCCAUCUUAAAACACUGGCCUCGGAUAUUAUGUUUUUACAAGAGACCCAUCUGAAUAAUAAAUCACAUGGCAGGCUCAGGACAAAGUGGAUAGGAGAGAUCUAUCACUCAGCUUUUUCUUCCAAAGCAAGAGGCUCUUAAUUAGAAAGGGUGUACCUUUUUUGCAGAAAAAAACAAUAACCGACAAAGAGGGUCGCUAUGUUAUAGUGAUUGGAGAGAUUAUUGGAGAAUAUUUCCCUCACCCUAGUAAACAUCUACGCACCUAAUACAGAUAACCCUGUAUUCUUUCAGAACAUUUUUGCAUUGAUACCAGAUAUGUCACAGACUAAUUUGAUAAUCAGAGGAGAUUUUAAUACCGUUUUGGAUGCAUAUCUAGAUAGAUCCUCCACAAAGAAACCUCCCAGAAAUGCCUCAAGUGAAUUCCUAAAUACAUACAUAAAAACCGCAAAUAUCCUAGACAUAUGGAGAAUGAUGAACCCCUCAGGUCGGGACUAUUCAUUUUAUUCACCUGUGCAUAAUUCUUAUAGUAAAAUAGACUAUUUACUAGUUGACGCCAAACUGGCACCUUUUGUAGUGGAUGCUAGGUAUCAUAGUAUUGUGAUUUCAGAUCACAGCCCACUUUCCUUUUCAGUAUGUUUAGACCACUUAGACAAACCACAUACCUCUUGGAGACUAAAUCCUCACCUGCUUACAGAUAAAAGCUUUCGUGAUUACCUAAAAGAUCAAAUCUCAUUGUAUUUUGAGAUGAAUGAUAUCCCAGAGACUUCUCCCUCUACUCUCUGGGAGGCGUUUAAAGCCUAUAUUAGAGGUAGCAUAAUUUCGUUUGAAGCAUCAAGGAGAAAAGAAAACGUCCAAAUUGAAAGACCUGGAAGUACAGAUCAAAGCAAUGGAUCAGGAAAAUGCUCGAUCCCCAUCUACAAUUUUGCACAGAAAAAUAACAACAUUGAAGUAUGAAUACAAUCAAAUUGUGUCUGUGAGAAUAAGUAAAGCGUUCCUGUAUACCAGACAAAGGUUCUUUGAAUUUGGGGAUAAACCACAUAAAUUACUGGCUCGUCAGCUCCGUAAAAUGGAGAAUGAUAGGACAAUAAAUAAGGUAAAAGCCUGUGAUAACACAAUACUCACAAAACCCAAAGAUAUUAAUAACAGGUUCCUCGAAUUUUACACAGACUUGUAUACUUCUAGAUCCACCUCAGAGUCCGAGAUUAUUAAUACAUUUCUAGAUAAAUGUGACCUACCUAGGUUAGGUGUUGAAGAUUGUAAAUCGCUAAAUGCGGAGCUCACAAUCACAGAGGUUCAGUCUGCUGUUGCCUCGUUAAAAGGUAAUAAAUCACCAGGUCCUGACGGACUCCCUGGAGAAUUAUAUAAAAUGUAUGGUGAAAAGUUAUCUCCUUAUUUAUUAAAGGUAUUCAAACAUGCUCAGGAAAGCGGUGCUCUACCACCGACUUUAACUGAAGCUGUGAUCACAGUAAUUCAUAAGAAAGGGUAAGAUCCACAGUAAGUAGGUGCCUAUCGCCCUAUUUCACUCCUGAAUGUUGACGGAGAGCUGUUUGCCAAAAUGCUUGCUAACAGACUGAGCCCCCUGUUGGAGAGAUUAGUUCACCCAGACCAGAUGGGUUUUGUACCUAAUAGAAACUCUACUUUCAAUCUGAGACGCCUCUUUAAUAUCAUGUACACAAGAAGAGAACCACACUCUGAUCUUGUUAUACUUGCGCUUGAUGCCGAAAAGGCAUUUGAUCAGAUUGAGUGGCGAUACUUAUUUGAAGUUCUCAAUAUAUUCAAUCUCAGAGAUGAUUUUUUGUCACUAAUUAAACUCAUCUACAAAAACCCUACAGCUCAAAUCCUAACCAACCGAACACUAUCCUCCCCGUUUAAGUUAUGUAGGGGGACGAGGCAGGGAUGCCCCCUCUCCCCUUUAAUCUUUGCUCUUGCUAUCGAGCCGUUGGCUCAAAGUAUUAGACUUGACCCUCAGAUACAUGGAUACACCACUAAAGAAACAAUUAAUAAAAUAUCAUUGUAUGCAGAUGAUAUUCUUCUUUAUUUAACACGUCCACAAAUGAAUAUUCCGGUACCUUUAGAUAUAAUCAAUCUAUUCUGUACUUUUGCAGGAUAUUGGAUCUAUUGGACAAAAAGUGUCUUAAUGCCAGUUCACAGGGAAGAUCUGACAUUUCUGAUUAAUCUCCCAUUUAAAAUCUCCUCGGAAAAUUUAACCUAUUUAGGUAUAGAAGUGACAAGACAGUAUACUUCUCUCUUUCAACAAAACUUUCCUCCUUUAAUAGAAAAACUGCGUUCUAGGUUAUUGUUAAUUGUUAAUUGUUAAUUUCGAUGAUCGGGAGAAUAAAUGCGGUUAAGAUGGUCUUACUCCCACAGUUACUAUAUCUGUUUCAAAGUAUUCCAAUAUUCCUUAAAAAAACUUUUUUUAAACAAUUAGACUCUUUAAUUACUCCUUUUGUGUGGGGACACAAAGCUCCCAGAAUAGGUAAGAAAUAUGUCUGCAAGCCUAAAUCUGCAGGAGGAUUAGCUCUUCCAAAUUUCUUGUUUUACUACUGGGCCUCAGCGAUUAAGACUUUUACUUUCUGGCUAAACAACACAAAGUCCCCACCUAAUUGGCUACUGAUGGAACAUGAGGAAUGCCAUCCAUAUUCACUGGCUACAAUUUUAUUAGCGCCAACUAAGAUCAAUAGGUUAUUAUAUAACAACAAUCCUAUUAUUCAUAACAUGAUUUGUAUCUGGAAACAAAUCAAAUCCAGUUAUAAUCUUAAUUCCAUAUCCUCUGCAUUACCCAUAGAUAGAAACCUUUUCUAAGUGGAAUCACAAGGGUAUUAAAUGUAUUGGAGAUCUGUAUAUACAAGGUGUAUUUGCCUCGUUUUCUAAAUUACAGCAGCAAUUUGGAUUGGAAAAUAAUAAUUUCUUUCAAUAUCUGCAAAUCAGGGACUUUGUACGUAGACAUUUGGAGGAUUUUCAGACCGAAUCAAAAACAUUAAUAGAUGACUGUCUGAAAUUGCCAAUAAAUGAACCUAAAUUGAUAACACGUAUCUAUAAUAAUCUCCUGUCAGUAAGUCCCCCCCCCCUGCCCAUAUACAUAGACGCAAAUGUGAGAAAGAAUUUGGCAAACCGAUCUCAGAUAAUCUAUGGGACAGAGCCCUUGAGAAGAUCAACACCUUUUUACACAGUGCAAGACAUUGUCUUAUUCAAUUCAAAAUUAUGCACAUGCUCCACUUCUCAAAGGAAAAAUUACAUAAAAUAUAUCCAGAAGUAUCACCUGUGUGUGAUAAAUGCAAAUCUUCCAUUGAAACCCAUCUUCGUUGUUAUGCACUAUGCCCCAAAAUUUCCUCUUUCUGGUCUGGUGUUUUUGGUAUAAUGUCCGAGGUUAUGAGAUUUGUGAUAAAGCCAGAACCCUUACUUAUUAUUCUUGGGGUGUCUGAAUCCUUUAAAAAAUUAAACAAAGCACAACAAUGUUUUAAUUCAUAUAGUCUUAUAAUAGAUUCUUACGUUAUGGAAGAGUAUAAACACACCAACAUCUAAGAUGUGGCUAGAGGAAUUAACUAAUACACUCCAUUUGGAAAGAAUAAGAUAUGUUCUGAAAGACAGACUCCAACAUUUUGACGCAACUUGGCAACCUCUUGUACAGUACCUUGCUAAUACGAACCCAACUUAAUAUUCGGUCUCCUAUAUGCAUUGUAGGGUUCUCGUGAUAUUUUCCAUGCGGGUCUUCUCCAGGGGGUGAGGGGUGUUUGUCAACCUGUUAUGUUCUGUUUCUGUUAUCUCCGUUUACAUGUUCUGUAAUUAUUAUGUUUGUGUGUUUGUAUUAUAAAUGCUCAAUAAAAAUACAUGGGGAAAAAAAAUAAAAAUGUCCUUGUCACUGGAAUAUGAAUGACACAUACGAAUAAAUUGUUUUAUUUUUAAGGAGAGUUUUGGUCUUUUUGGCCAUAUUUAUGAAAUACGGUCCCUGAAGCUAUGGGCAGUAUGAGACAUGCAACAUAACAUGUAAACCUAAUCUAGUAGACACACAAAAUUAGAUUAUGAACCUGAAAAUGAGCAUAAUAUAUCUCCUUUACGUAGCACAGAUUCUAGUAAUUUGCAUUGAAAAUCAAACUUCUCUAACUCAAUUCUCAAUUCUGAACACACUGACAUCAUACUUAAUUCAAUGUGACUUACACUUUAUCAGGAUAAUUAUCUUUAUUUUUAUAGAAUCCCCAUUGUGAAUAAAUUGAGGGUCUGACAAUGUCAGACAAGUGGAUUCCCUUGGUGUAUACUUGCUGCUGUGAGGAUGAACUGUAUGAAUGUGGACACAGUUGGAGUCAGUCUCUUGUCUCUC